ACUCAAAUGAAUUGACGGGGACCCGCACAAGCGGUGGAGCAUGUGGUUUAAUUCGAAGCAACGCGAAGAACCUUACCAGGUCUUGACAUCCCUCUGACCGGUCCGUAACGGGACCUUUCCUUCGGGACAGAGGAGACAGGUGGUGCAUGGUUGUCGUCAGCUCGUGUCGUGAGAUGUUGGGUUAAGUCCCGCAACGAGCGCAACCCUUAUCCUUAGUAGCCAGCACGUUAUGGUGGGCACUCUAGGGAGACUGCCAGGGAUAACCUGGAGGAAGGCGGGGAUGACGUCAAAUCAUCAUGCCCCUUAUGAUCUGGGCUACACACGUGCUACAAUGGUGGCUACAAAGAGACGCAACCCUGCGAAGGUGAGCAAAUCUCAGAAAAGCCAUCCCAGUUCGGAUUGUAGUCUGCAACUCGACUACAUGAAGCUGGAAUCGCUAGUAAUCGCGAAUCAGAAUGUCGCGGUGAAUACGUUCCCGGGUCUUGUACACACCGCCCGU
rnacentral:rRNA from 1 species